rnacentral:rRNA from 1 species
AUUGAACGCUGGCGGCAGGCCUAACACAUGCAAGUCGAGCGGAUGAGAAGAGCUUGCUCUUCGAUUCAGCGGCGGACGGGUGAGUAAUGCCUAGGAAUCUGCCUGGUAGUGGGGGACAACGUUUCGAAAGGAACGCUAAUACCGCAUACGUCCUACGGGAGAAAGCAGGGGACCUUCGGGCCUUGCGCUAUCAGAUGAGCCUAGGUCGGAUUAGCUAGUUGGUGAGGUAAUGGCUCACCAAGGCGACGAUCCGUAACUUGUCUGAGAGGAUGAUCAGUCACACUGGAACUGAGACACGGUCCAGACUCCUACGGGAGGCAGCAGUGGGGAAUAUUGGACAAUGGGCGAAAGCCUGAUCCAGCCAUGCCGCGUGUGUGAAGAAGGUCUUCGGAUUGUAAAGCACUUUAAGUUGGGAGGAAGGGCAGUAAGUUAAUACCUUGCUGUUUUGACGUUACCGACAGAAUAAGCACCGGCUAACUCUGUGCCAGCCGCCGCCGUAAGAC